rnacentral:lncRNA from 1 species
CUUGAACUAAUGUUGCAUUAAUUUGUAAAUUUAAAGGAUUAUGUUCCCUUAAACAAAUAACUCUUUAUAUAAUUUGACUUAACUAAAUUUCCUUAAACAUUAAACAACAACUUCCAAAUUUAAUGUUGGAUCCUCUCAGGCAUUUCAGUUGCCUCACAGAAUAGAGUUAUAAAUUUAACAAACAAAAUCUUACUAAAUUCAUCAAAAAGUAAUAAAUAUAUUAAAUCAAAUACUAUAGAUGUAGUAAGUCAAAUUCACUUAAACAUUCAAACUCUGUUUACAAACUUAAUUAUAUUAUCUUAAUAGUUUCUAAUGAAAAUCUCUUAAUUUUCCCAGUAGCAUAAGGAAACACAGAAAUUUAUAUUUAACUCCAUUUUUAAAUAGUAUGGGUUGAUUUACUUUAUUGUGCCCAAAUGUUCUUAUCUUCCCACAGCUGCAGAAGGCAGUUUUCCAACGCACGUGCAGAGCUGCAAUCUUGGAUCCUUGCAACAUGAACCCAGGACCCGGGAUGCACUUCACUGAGCUGCCACUUGAUGCCUGUUUAUAUGCUGAGCCUCAUUUUAGAAUGUGGCACUGCACCAGCACCCUGCCUCAGGGACACUAGCUGGGGAAAGAAGGCGCCAGGAACCGCCAAGACCACUUCCUGUAGCAGUGAUCAUGGGAUCCACUAUUUGGCAGUGUUUGAUUGUGGCCUUCAAGAACCUCACUCUGUCAUAAAACACAACAUAACACAGGACCUCACACAGAAAGGCACUUAGUAAAGUGGACUUGAUGAGGAUGAUUGCAAUCACUCUUCCUAGAGGUAAAUUUAUUUAUUCAUUCACUCAAUACUUAGUCAAUUAAUAUUCAUUGAGUAUCUAUGAUAUGUCAGCCCCAUGCUUGGUGCUAGAGAUGUAACAGUGAAGGAAAUACAUGGGCCCUGUUCUUAUGGACCUUAUGGUCUAGUGGAGGAAACAGAUAUUACUGAAAUGUUCACAUUAAAUGAAAUAAUCACAAACUGGAGUAAGUGAUCCAAAUGAAAAGUAUAAGCCAUAUAACACUGCAGACAUCAGGAGAAGGUGAAUCAAGGCAGAAAGCCUGCAUAUAUGGAAUAGGUUCUGUAUGGAAUGAGACAGGAAUUGUCUAAGGUUAAAAUCUAUGCUGUGCAUAUUUAUUAAAUUAUUGGGAGUAUCUGUAGUACUCUUUAAAAUCACCCUCCACUCCUACGGUGGUAACCAAUAGACACAAUAACCCACAGACACAGAAAAAGCGCCCAUUCAUCUCCCACCAGACAUUA